UGCCAGACUCCUACGGGAGGCAGCAGUGGGGAAUAUUGGGCAAUGGGCGCAAGCCUGACCCAGCAACGCCGCGUGAAGGAAGAAGGCCCUCGGGUUGUAAACUUCUUUUAUCAAGGACGAAACAAAUGACGGUACUUGAUGAAUAAGCCACGGCUAACUACGUGCCAGCAGCCGCGGUAAUACGUAGGUGGCAAGCGUUAUCCGGAUUUACUGGGUGUAAAGGGCGUGUAGGCGGGACUGCAAGUCAGAUGUGAAAACCAUGGGCUCAACCCAUGGCCUGCAUUUGAAACUGUGUUUCUUGAGUGCUGGAGAGGCAAUCGGAAUUCCGUGUGUAGCGGUGAAAUGCGUAGAUAUACGGAGGAACACCAGUGGCGAAGGCGGAUUGCUGGACAGUAACUGACGCUGAGGCGCGAAAGCGUGGGGAGCAAACAGGAUUAGAUACCCCUGUA
rnacentral:rRNA from 1 species